UUUCCUAUUUGCAUCACGAUUGUGUGCCUUCCAUUGUUCACAGAGAUGUGAAAUCAAACAAUAUCCUGUUGGAUGGGGAGUUUGGAGCUCGGGUUGCUGACUUCGGUGUUGCCAAGGUAGUUGACAUGGUUGGGAAGGGACGGAAAUCCAUGUCUAUGAUUGCUGGUUCGUGUGGUUACAUAGCUCCAGAAUAUGCGUAUACUCUUCGAGUGAACGAGAAGAGUGACAUAUACAGUUUUGGAGUGGUGAUUCUAGAGUUGGUGACAGGGAGACUUCCCAUUGAUCCUGAGUAUGGGGAGAAUGAUUUGAUGAAGUGGGUCUGCACCACCCUGAAU